CUGGGAGGCGGCGGGCCUGCGGCACCCUCGCAGGCCCGGCCGAGGGAAGUGGGGGCGGCCCCGAGGGCCCACUCAGUACCUGGUGCCUCGGGGGCGGGCUGGGUGCUGCAGGCCAGGGGCAGGCGCUCGCUGCGCAGCUUCAUCCCGCCCUGGCGGGCGGCUGAGGGCACGGGGGGGGACCGGGGCUGCCAGGCGGGGGGAAGCCGGGCCCGCCGGCGCCGCCGGGUGACGGCUGCCGGGGAGCUCCGCUGCGGCCUUCGCUGGUGGCGGGCUGCCCGAGCCGCCGGCGGCGGCGGGCUGAUGGCGGUUGGUUACUGGCGGUUGUGUGUCAGUUGUCCUCCUGGCUGUCCCGGAGCACCACCCAGCCCAGCCCGGACCGUGGCAGCAUCAGGCACCGCUCCGUAGCUGGGCCUUGUGGUCUGACGGCCUCUGAACAGGCAGAAAGAGGAAGACAGGGAAGUCCGGUAGUCUGAGCGAUCUGCUGGAGGCGGGAGCCGCUGUGAACGCACCUGCAGAUGUUUUUGGUCAGUCUCCAGCUCACCUGGCUGCCUGCGGCGGGGAAGCCUUCUUCCUACUUUGGCAGCUGCAGACGGGAGCGAAUUUGAACCAACAGGAUUGCCUUGGAGAAGCCCCGAUUCAUAAAGCAGCAAGAGUUGGGAGUUUGGAAUGUCUUGCUCUCCUCGUUGCUGGUGAUGCCAAAAUUGACCUGUGCAACAACAGCGGACAAACAGCAGCAGACCUCGCGUUGGCUUACGGCUUUCUGGAAUGUGCCAGGUUCCUCAGGACAACUCAGCACACUCAGACAAUGAAACUGAGAGGACAGUCUGGCUACUCACCAAGGGACGACCAUGGCUUGUUGAGAGGGGAUCCAGCUGCACAGAAACAAGAAGGUGAAACCACCAGAUCCAUAUGCAGGAAGAGGAGAAGAUCAGGUGAUCUGGUCUCCUAGCUGACAAAAGAAAUAGCUUGUCAUCCCAAAUAAAAUCAAGGGGAAUCCAAAGUCUGAAGAAGCAUGACUGGACUAUACAUUUCUGAAGUCUGAAGAAGCAUGACUGGACUAUACAUUUCUGAAGUCUGAAGAAGCAUGACUGGACUAUACAUUGAGCAGCCAGAUGUGGACCAGCCACAGACAAAAGACCUCUACAUGGAAGAAAAAGGCACACACUCAAUACAUGCACGUACUCCAGGACUCAGAGCUGAAGACAUACGUCUGACAGAUACUCAUAUUCCCCUUAAAAGACAGUACUCCCAAAAGUGGUGACAGAAGCUAGGCAAGGAAAUUAAUACAGAUAUUUUUCACGUCUUGUCUAUUUCUUCAUAUAGUUGUUAACCUUUUGAAAACCCCACGAAAGCCCACAUGCCUGUUUCUCAAAUUCCUGAAGAGAUUCAUUAAAUGUAGACAGAAUACAAAACUGCAACUCUGGGAAAUAACAGACUCCAUACGAGUGCUGCUGGUGCAGCUGUAAAGUCUUAUUUCCAUGAAGAGUUAGCUGUGCUAGUUGGAAAUAAGCCCAAGAGAAACAUGCUAUCCACUGCCAGCGACCAGCUGAAAAAGAUGCAUGACAUUUCUUUUUCUCAGCGUGGUAGUGACGUUGGCUUCUCAUAAUCCUGAAAAACAUUGGUGUGCUCCCUUGUAGCAGCACUAUGAGCAAUUCUACCCAGUUCACAAAGGAAUCUGUUCUAUAUUCUUAUGUGCAGGAAUAAAAACCUUCACCCUGGCAGGGCCUGUCACAGCUGCUAGAAAUAAUAGGUGGAUCAGCUGCAAAUAUAAGCUCUGGAACAAAAAAGAUUAAAAAUUGGCUGUAUAAAGCUUUACAAAAAAUUGAAGAACUGUUUUCCUACCGUUAAGAAUCACCAUGGUCACAUACUCUUUCAGAAUAUCUAUAGUAGAAUUUACUCCAAAUAAACAUAACUCAUGAGUAGUAUUUUGUAUGACUAGAGUUUUCAUACCAUCUAAGGUAGUAUGUAUUCUUUAUUUCAUGACUGUAUUUAUCACAAAACAUUCAGGGAUUUGUUAGUCUUAGUUCUGCCUAAAUGAUAAAAAUCCAGUAGCUUCUGAUAAAUGCUGAACAUUAUUCUUUUUGUCCUAAACAUAUUUGUAGGGUUAUUUAUUGUAUAUGAGAGUGUCAGAUUGUCAGAGUGGAAACAAAUUCCUUGUUUUAUCUAUCUGUCACACAAACCCAGAAAAGAGUGCACUAUUGCCAGGCUGCUCAGCAAUUCCUCAGUCCUGAACUGAUGGGCUAGAUCUAUGAGCAAAGUCAUAAUUCACUGUCGGUGUGCACUCAGUUCAUUGUGACUGCCAGACUGUGUGCCUGCUUCCAAAUCUGCUCGUGCUGCAAAAGAAAAGGCUGAAUUCCACAUCAGUCUGCAUAUCAUUAAGUAAUUUAUAGCAACUACAACCCGGAACGCUAAGCCCCCCAGGAAAUUUAGCAACACCUUCAUCUAUAGGCACUUAGCACAACCAAAGUCAGGAAUACAGGGUUGAUGAACACGGAACCCUUAAAAGAUUUAUUAUCUCCUUUAUUAUCCCUAUUCUCCCAUAUAGUGUAAUGGUAAUUUGCAUUUUAAGGCACUCAGGGUUUUUAAUAAUUACUGAGCUAUUAAACAGAUAGUGAUUCUUACCUGAC